rnacentral:rRNA from 1 species
UACGAAGGGGGCUAGCGUUGCUCGGAAUCACUGGGCGUAAAGCGCACGUAGGCGGCUUUCUAAGUCAGGGGUGAAAUCCUGGAGCUCAACUCCAGAACUGCCUUUGAUACUGGAGAGCUUGAGUUCGGGAGAGGUGAGUGGAACUGCGAGUGUAGAGGUGAAAUUCGUAGAUAUUCGCAAGAACACCAGUGGCGAAGGCGGCUCACUGGCCCGAUACUGACGCCGAGGUGCGAAAGCGUGGGGAGCAAACAGG